rnacentral:rRNA from 1 species
CGCGUAGGCGGUGUGGUAAGUCUGGUGUGAAACCUCCAGGCUCAACUUGGAGCUUGCAUCAGAAACUGCCGUGCUAGAGUGCGGGAGAGGAGAGUGGAAUUCCUGGUGUAGCGGUGAAAUGCGUAGAUAUCAGGAGGAACACCGGUGGCGAAAGCGGCUCUCUAGACCGCAACUGACGCUGAGGCGCGAAAGCUAGGGGAGCAAACAGGAUUAGAUACCCUGGUAGUCCUAGCCGUAAACGAUGAACACUUGGUAUAGCGGGUAUCGAAUCCCGCCGUGCCGGAGCUAACGCAUUAAGUGUUCCGCCUGGGGAGUACGGUCGCAAGGCUGAA